GGAAUGGCAUUGGAAACUGGUUAACUUGAGUGCAGUAGAGGUAAGUGGAACUCCAUGUGUAGCGGUGGAAUGCGUAGAUAUAUGGAAGAACACCAGUGGCGAAGGCGGCUUACUGGACUGCAACUGACGUUGAGGCUCGAAAGUGUGGGUAGCAAACAGGAUUAGAUACCCUGGUAGUCCACACCGUAAACGAUGAACACUAGGUGUUAGGAGGUUUCCGCCUCUUAGUGCCGAAGCUAACGCAUUAAGUGUUCCGCCUGGGGAGUACGACCGCAAGGUUGAAACUCAAAGGAAUUGACGGGGACCCGCACAAGCGGUGGAGCAUGUGGUUUAAUUCGAAGCAACGCGAAGAACCUUACCAGGUCUUGACAUCCUUUGAAGCUUUUAGAGAUAGAAGUGUUCUCUUCGGAGACAAAGUGACAGGUGGUGCAUGGUCGUCGUCAGCUCGUGUCGUGAGAUGUUGGGUUAAGUCCCGCAACGAGCGCAACCCUUAUUGUUAGUUGCCAGCAUUCAGAUGGGCACUCUAGCGAGACUGCCGGUGACAAACCGGAGGAAGGCGGGGACGACGUCAGAUCAUCAUGCCCCUUAUGACCUGGGCUACACACGUGCUACAAUGGCGUAUACAACGAGUUGCCAACCCGCGAGGGUGAGCUAAUCUCUUAAAGUACGUCUCAGUUCGGAUUGUAGUCUGCAACUCGACUACAUGAAGUCGGAAUCGCUAGUAAUCGCGGAUCAGCACGCCGCGGUGAAUACGUUCCCGGGUCUUGUACACACCGCCCGUCACACCAUGGGAGUUUGUAAUGCCCAAAGCCGGUGGCCUAACCUUUUAGGAAGGAGCCGUCUAAGGCAGGACAGAUGACU
rnacentral:rRNA from 1 species